UAUGUGUUGACGUGCUCCUGUUUUACAGUGAAUUUUUUAAUAACAAAUUGCAACAAUCAAUUGUUAAUUUAUAAUAAAUCGGUUCAUUAACUCGCUAGCUCCGUUUUGAGUGCAAAAUUAUUGCUGGAUGUCACGGAUUUUAGUUAAAAAUUGAUAUUGUUUAAAGUGUCUAAAAGCGGCCGGGUCACGAAAAGACGCUAUGGAAUUUUAUAAUAACAAAAUACCCGCAGAUUUCCUGGGAUAUGUCAAAAGUUAUAAAACCUGGACAGGCGCCAAGGCAUUUACUCCAAAAAUCGGAGCAGAUACAAAAAAAAAAGGAUGACCAGAAAUUAUUUGGACAAAUGAGUU